CCCCUUUUAUAACCUCCUCUCUAACUGCUCGUGACUCCUGCUCCCCGGCUAUGGCAUGCGGAUGAUGCUGCCGUGGGGACAGUCUAGCAGCUUCUUCCCCCUCCACUGUAUUAUAGCAUACAAAUUAACUUUAUUAACAUUACACAUACACAUAUACUAAUAUAGCUCCCUAAUAGUAACCAUGGAUUACACUAUAUAUUUUUUUUUACAUACUGCUGAGAUAGCUGCAUGUGCUCAGCGAUGUUGUUUCCAAGUUAGGUGAAUAUAUCUUCCAACCAGAAACUGGUACUGUGCUCAUGUGACUCAGGCUUCCAAUGGCAGACAAGCGCUCCCUAUAGAAACCUGCAACUGUGGCUCAGCAUUUAUCGGAACAACUCCCUCCCUAGUGUGUUUCUCUCUGAUCCCGGUCAACCUGUGUCAUUAUCUGCCCUCAGCGCUUCAGUAUGCAGUCUGUGCCAGUGCUCCUGUUUCCAGUACUUCUACCGACAGUUUGCAUUCAGCUAAUCUGCUCUCAACCUGUGCCAAUGAUACUGUUUGCUGCCUGAGCUACAGCAGGAGCGGACAUCAAUCGUUGCACAGAGAGAUUGGUUGUCAUGGGGACAGUGCACACUGAGCUGGCCACCUGGAGAUUGGACUGAUGCCAGCGACUUGGCGCUGUGAGAUGAUGUCAUUGCGGCACUGGCUGGAUCCUGCACAUGGGGAAUGAGCAGUGGGAUACAAGAAUAAAUAGUUCAGCUAUGAAGAAGUUAGAGGUGAAGCUGGUGGAAAAGAGGUGGUGCAGACUGAAGAUGUGGCGGGUCUGGACUGGCGAUGGUGGGGAAAGGAGGAGCCAGAAGAGAA